rnacentral:rRNA from 1 species
GUGGGGAAUAUUGGACAAUGGGGGGAACCCUGAUCCAGCCAUGCCGCGUGUGUGAAGAAGGUCUUCGGAUUGUAAAGCACUUUAAGUUGGGAGGAAGGGCAGUAAGUUAAUACCUUGCUGUUUUGACGUUACCGACAGAAUAAGCACCGGCUAACUUCGUGCCAGCAGCCGCGGUAAUACGAAGGGUGCAAGCGUUAAUCGGAAUUACUGGGCGUAAAGCGCGCGUAGGUGGUUUUGUAAGUUGGAGGUGAAAUCCCCGGGCUCAACCUGGGAACUGCCUCCAAAACUGCAUGACUAGAGUACGGUAGAGGGUAGUGGAAUUUCCUGUGUAGCGGUGAAAUGCGUAGAUAUAGGAAGGAACACCAGUGGCGAAGGCGACUACCUGGACUGAUACUGACACUGAGGUGCGAAAGCGUGGGGAGCAAACAGGAUUAGAUACCCGGGUAGUCC